AUAAAUAAAUAAAAUUGAAUUUAAAAUACAAAACCCUGGAAAAAAGUAACACCAUUAGUAUUUCUUUGAAAAAGUUUUUUGCUUGUUUUUCUGCAUAUUUACAUUGAGGUUCAAAGAUUUGAUAGCUGUGGGCACAUAAGGGGAGAUGAGUAAUAGCAAGUGAAAAAGGGACAGAGAAGUAGAGUACUUGAAUUUGCCAAAGACAAACUUGAAUGAUUUAAUAAUACUGGAUAGCUAGCAGUAUCUUUGAAAAAGUUUUUAAGUGUCUUUUGUUUUUAUUUUUGCUUUUUUGCCAGUCCUAAGGAUUUUGCAGGUUGGCUUGGGUCCAGUGUGAUGAUUAAACAUUUGUUUUUUAAAAAGGGAAUUGAUUCUUUUGUUCUGUGUUGCUCAAUUCAAGAUUAAAUCAUGAGGGGAUUUGGAAGGAUAGACCGAAGUUUCAUCUGGUUUGGUGAAAACAAUAUGUUACUACAUAAUUAUUCCUUUGUAAUAGCUCAAGAAAGUAAGAGUUCUUUUUUCCUUUUCUUUUCUUCGUCUUUUUUUUUUUUUAAUUAAAACUCCAUACAGUGCUUCUGAUUAAAUCCAAAUCAGAGUGAACGUUAUGACUGGGUUUGAGGGAGCCCAUCAAAUCUUUCUGGCACAAUUCUUUGUGGGGCCGAGAAAUGACUUUUCUCCCUCUUUCCUUUUGAGAUGGCAGUGUUAUGGGUGCAUUUAUCUCUGCGUUCAGGUGCAGCAAGACAGAGAUGAGGAAGAAAAUCUGCCAAGCACUAGGAAACAAUAUUAAACAAGCACCUAGAGGAAAUUGCAAAGUACUUUCUAUUUUAUCAGGAUUUCUAAUUCCAGCAUGAUGAUUUAUGAAAGUAAAUGGAGGCUACAAAGAAAGGAGUGAUAACGUGAUAUGUACACUUUAAUAGCCACCGUCUGUACCCUGAUGGUGAAGUCAAGAGCACAGGACAGUCCUUGGCCGAAGUUAUAUACGUGAUAAAUCGGAGACAUUUGGCAAAGUUUUAGGAAAAUCAAAGGAGAAAAUUUGUGAGUUAAUAUACAUAAAGCUCUUCGAAGGUGUAAAUAAAGAGUCACCAUUGGCUGACCUCAGCAGAAGCCACGAGGACGAGAAAGCCUGGGUAAUGCAGGUCAUAAAGAGAUGGGCAGAAGGGAGAUCUAGAAACGCAAAUUAAAAAUAACUAGCAAACA